rnacentral:rRNA from 1 species
UACGUAGGUGGCAAGCGUUGUCCGGAUUUACUGGGCGUAAAGGGCGUGCAGGCGGUUUGUUAAGUGCAGGGUGAAAGCUCCCGGCUCAACUGGGAGAGGUCCUUGCAUACUGGCAAACUCGAGGGAGGCAGAGGAAAGUGGAAUUCCCGGUGUAGUGGUGAUAUGCGUAGAUAUCGGGAGGAACACCUGUUGCGAAGGCGGCUUUCUGGGCCUUACCUGACGCUGAGACGCGAAAGCGUGGGGAGCGAACCGG